rnacentral:rRNA from 1 species
UACGUAGGGUGCGAGCGUUAAUCGGAAUUACUGGGCGUAAAGCGUGCGCAGGCGGUUCGCCAAGUCAGGUGUGAAAGCCCCGGGCUUAACCUGGGAAUGGCAUUGGAAACUGGCGGGCUGGAGUGUGGCAGAGGGGGGUGGAAUUCCACGUGUAGCAGUGAAAUGCGUAGAGAUGUGGAGGAACACCGAUGGCGAAGGCAGCCCCCUGGGCCAACACUGACGCUCAGGCACGAAAGCGUGGGGAGCAAACAGG